ACAAGUCUGGCAGAAGGAUUACACAGCUUUCAACUACGUCUUUUGUCAUCGCACGUCUAGUUAGAGCUCCGUUGUCGUCCUCUAUGAAUUUUUGUAAGGCCGUAAUGGUAGGGGUGUUUCCCGUGUGUCAAGCAAACACCCUUAAGAGUGUAAACAUUUUUACAG
rnacentral:lncRNA from 1 species